rnacentral:lncRNA from 1 species
GGGGUAUGCGCAAAAAUUUGAAUUUCAGAUUUUUGGUUUUAAGGGUUUAAGAAGAGAGAAUAAAUUAAAAAAAAUAUUUUUUUUCUAUAUUUCUUCUAUCAUUUUAUCUCCUCCAGAAGCCAUCUUCAAUCUCUAAAAAGAUUUCAGAGAUUUGAAGAAAGAAUCCAGAUCAGCCAAAAAGAAGGUCUUCAUGCGAGUUAGCACUUCCGAGAAGAUCGAUCAGAUUGAGGCUU